AUUGAACGCUGGCGGCAUGCUUACCCAUGCAAGUCGAACGGUAACAGGCCGCAAGGUGCUGACGAGUGGCGAACGGGUGAGUAAUGCAUCGGAACGUGCCCAGUCGUGGGGGAUAACUACUCGAAAGAGUAGCUAAUACCGCAUACGAUCUAUGGAUGAAAGCGGGGGACCGUAAGGCCUCGCGCGAUUGGAGCGGCCGAUGUCAGAUUAGGUAGUUGGUGGGGUAAAGGCUCACCAAGCCAACGAUCUGUAGCUGGUCUGAGAGGACGACCAGCCACACUGGGACUGAGACACGGCCCAGACUCCUACGGGAGGCAGCAGUGGGGAAUUUUGGACAAUGGGCGCAAGCCUGAUCCAGCAAUGCCGCGUGCAGGAAGAAGGCCUUCGGGUUGUAAACUGCUUUUGUACGGAACGAAACGGCUCUGGUUAAUACCCGGGGCUAAUGACGGUACCGUAAGAAUAAGCACCGGCUAACUACGUG
rnacentral:rRNA from 1 species